rnacentral:rRNA from 1 species
GGGUCAGUAGGUUGGUCGUGCCACCGGUACGUACUGGUCUCACUGAUUCCUCCUUCCUGAAGAACCGUAAUGCCAUUAAUUUGGUGCUGCGGGGAAACAGGACUGUUACUUUGAAAAAAUUAGAGUGUUUAAAGCAAGCUAACGCUUGAAUACAUUAGCGUGGAAUAAUGAAAUAGGACGAUCGAUCCUAUUUUGUUGGUUUCUAGGAUUGACGUA